rfam:TPA: Bos taurus chromosome 14, whole genome shotgun sequence.
UCCCUGGUGGCUCAGAGGGUAAAGCGUCUGCCUACAAUGCAGGAGACGCGGGUUCAAUCCCUGGGUCGGGAA